rnacentral:rRNA from 1 species
AAUCAACGCUGGCGGCGUGCCUAACACAUGCAAGUCGAACGAGGAAGUGGAGCAAUCCAUGAGUACAGUGGCGACCGGGUGAGUAACACGUGAUUAACCUACCCUCGAGUGGGGGAUAACUCCGGGAAACCGGAGCUAAUACCGCAUAACAUCGCGAGGUUUAAGUAUCUUGCGAUCAAAGGAGCAAUUCGCUUGAGGAGGGAGUCGCGGCUGAUUAGCUAGUUGGCGGGGUAACGGCCCACCAAGGCGAUGAUCAGUAGCCGGCCUGAGAGGGCGCACGGCCACACUGGAACUGAAACACGGUCCAGACUCCUACGGGAGGCAGCAGUGGGGAAUUUUGCGCAAUGGGGGAAACCCUGACGCAGCAACGCCGCGUGGAGGAUGAAGUCCUUUGGGAUGUAAACUCCUUUCGACCGGGAAGAUUAUGACGGUACCGGAGGAAGAAGCACCGGCUAACUCUGUGCCAGCAGCCGCGGUAAUACAGAGGGUGCGAGCGUGUUCGGAGUU